UACGGGGGGGGCAAGCGUUGUUCGGAAUUACUGGGCGUAAAGGGCUCGUAGGCGGCCAACUAAGUCAGACGUGAAAUCCCUCGGCUUAACCGGGGAACUGCGUCUGAUACUGGAUGGCUAGAGGUUGGGAGAGGGAUGCGGAAUUCCAGGUGUAGCGGUGAAAUGCGUAGAUAUCAGGAGGAACACCAAUGGCGAAGGCAGCUCGCUGGGACGGUACUGACGCUGAGGCGCGAAAGCGUGGGGAGCGAACGGG
rnacentral:rRNA from 1 species